rnacentral:rRNA from 2 species
AUUGGGCGUUAAGUUGCAGGGUAUAGACCCGAAACCCGGUGAUCUAGCCAUGGGCAGGUUGAAGGUUGGGUAACACUAACUGGAGGACCGAACCGACUAAUGUUGAAAAAUUAGCGGAUGACCUGUGGCUGGGGGUGAAAGGCCAAUCAAACCGGGAGAUAGCUGGUUCUCCCCGAAAGCUAUUUAGGUAGCGCCUCGUGAAUUCAUCUCCGGGGGUAGAGCACUGUUUCGGCUAGGGGGCCAUCCCGGCUUACCAACCCGAUGCAAACUGCGAAUACCGGAGAAUGUUAUCACGGGAGACACACGGCGGGUGCUAACGUCCGUCGUGAAGAGGGAAACAACCCAGACCGCCAGCUAAGGUCCCAAAGUCAUGGUUAAGUGGGAAACGAUGUGGGAAGGCCCAGACAGCCAGGAUGUUGGCUUAGAAGCAGCCAUCAUUUAAAGAAAGCGUAAUAGCUCACUGGUCGAGUCGGCCUGCGCGGAAGAUGUAACGGGGCUAAACCAU